rfam:Oryza rufipogon genomic scaffold, chr05
AAAAAGACAAACUCUGAGUUUCCGUGUCCAAUGUUUGACCGUCUGUCUUAUAUGAAUUUUUUUUAUAAUUAGUAUUUUCAUUGUUGUUAGGUGAUAAAACAUGAUUAAUACUUUAUGCGUGAUUUAUCUUUUUAAUUUUUUUCAUAAUUUUUUUUAAAUAAGACGGACGGUCAAACAUUGGACACGGAAACCUAGGGUUGUCUUUUUU